CGCAGCAAAAAAAAAAAAAAAAAAGAAAAAACUUUUCGUCUUUGCGACUCUACUCUUGCGUUGUUGCGCCGCGAAGCAGCUGUGGCUAUGAGCGGCGUACAGAUGUGGACAGACGGAGAAAGGACAGCAGGAAGGAGUGGGGGACAGGGGGAUUUGUAUGCGUCCUGGGCCGACUUCAGGGGGAACUGUGCCGACAUUCGUCUGGAAAGUCUUCGGAAAACCCAGGGAAAACCUCAGACAGCACAGCCGGUGGUAGGAUUCGAACCCACCACCUCCCAGUCUACAGCACGACCUUGGUUACCACCAACGAGCGGACGCCUUAGCCCACUCGGCCAUGCCGCUGAUGUGUUGCUCAAGAGGUACCAGGCAGCCACCGAGCAACAAAUUGAUGGGAGAAUUGGACGCUACUUGGCUGGAGCUCCUGACCGGGAUGGUGGACGUGAAGCUCGCAAAAGAAAAUCGGGGACGUCCGCCGAAGAAGAACAUUGAAUGGUUUCAGUAGCGUUGGGUCACGCAAUAAAUCAGAACACGCCUAUAUCUACCUUUUA